ACAAGACAAAAUAAACAACCCGGGACAAAUAGGACGGAAAAGUGGCAUUGGAUGUGGCUGCCACAGCGCACCCACCCUUCCUGUGGUGCCCCUAGCGUAGCGAGGGAGGCACCACCCAUGUUCCGAGGCCGGAGCCACUGCCAGGCCAGACUACGACCGGUUCAUCUCCCCGCUGGAAAUUGCCUUAGGCCCACAUCAUCUUCAUCUCCAUUCUAAGUCAGGGCAAAACCACUACCCGGCCUGGACUGCACCAGCUGCAAGGCCGUCUUAAAAUCGGAAAUUUGGCCCCGCAGAAAAGUUUAAGCCAAGUGGCUUUCAUCAAUUAAACACCUCUUUUCUCUCCUAAUUACCCUGCUGGAGCUCCAAGAGGACACAAAAGGGACAGACCCCGAGUUAGCGCAAGGCCAGACUCAAGCUCGCGGAAUCACGAAGACGUGCAGAAACGGACAAGGGUGCGGCGAGAAAGCCGGCUGCGGGUCGCCGAAGGACGACUUGGGACCCUUAUAAAGGGACGUGGCGGUCCGGAAACCGGUAUUACGCCCUGCCCCGGCCACUGCAGACCGUGACGUCGGAGAUGCUGCGUUGUUUGGGAGUCGCGUCGUGUUCGAGGCGUAGUGCGGCUCGGGUUCUACGUGCCCGGAACGGACUCACCGAGGUAAUGUAUGUAAACUCAACUGCCUGCGGCGGUGUUGGUUGGUGUUGAUG